rnacentral:rRNA from 1 species
CGUGCAGGCGGGCCGGCAAGUCUGAUGUGAAAGCCCCGGGCUCAACCCGGGAAGUGCAUUGGAAACUGCUGGUCUUGAGUUCUGGAGAGGAAGGGGGAAUUCCCGGUGUAGAGGUGAAAUUCGUAGAGAUCGGGAGGAAUACCAGUGGCGAAGGCGCCCUUCUGGACGGCAACUGACGCUGAGACGCGAAAGCGUGGGGAGCAAACAGGAUUAGAUACCCUGGUAGUCCACGCUGUAAACGAUGAGCACUAGGUGUAGCGGGUACUCAUUCCUGCUGUGCCGCAGCUAACGCGUUAAGUGCUCCGCCUGGGGAUUACGGUCGCAAGACUAAA